GCGGAGGAAAAGAAACCAACAGGGAUUGCCUCAGUAACGGCGAGUGAAGCGGCAAAAGCUCAAAUUUGAAAUCUGGCACCGUUAGGUGUCCGAGUUGUAAUUUGGAGAGGAUACUUCGGGUGUGGCUACGGCGUAAGUCCCUUGGAACAGGGCGUCAUAGAGGGUGAGAAUCCCGUCUUAAGUCGUUUGCCCACGCCCAUGCGAAGUUCCUUCGACGAGUCGAGUUGUUUGGGAAUGCAGCUCUAAGUGGGUGGUAAAUUUCAUCUAAAGCUAAAUAUUGGCCGGAGACCGAUAGCGAACAAGUAGAGUGAUCGAAAGGUUAAAAGCACCUUGAAAAGGGAGUUAAAUAGCACGUGAAAUUGUUGAAAGGGAAGCGCUUGCAACCAGACUCGGUCAUAGGGGCUCAGCAGGCAUGCGUGCCUGUGUACUCCCCUGUGUUCGGGCCAGCAUCAGUUCUGGCGGUUGGUUAAAGGCCCUUGGAAUGUAUCGUCCUCCGGGACGUCUUAUAGCCAAGGGUGUAAUGCAGCCAGCUGGGACUGAGGAACGCGCUUCGGCACGGAUGCUGGCGUAAUGGUUGUAAGCGACCCGUCUUAA
rnacentral:rRNA from 1 species